UACGGGGGGAGCAAGCGUUGUUCGGAUUUACUGGGCGUAAAGGGCGCGUAGGCGGUCAGCACAAGUCAGUUGUGAAAUCUCCGGGCUUAACUCAGAAAGGUCAACUGAUACUGUGCGACUAGAGUGCAGAAGGGGCAACUGGAAUUCUCGGUGUAGCGGUGAAAUGCGUAGAUAUCGAGAGGAACACCUGCGGCGAAGGCGGGUUGCUGGGCUGAUACUGACGCUGAAGCGCGAAAGCUAGGGUAGCAAACGGG
rnacentral:rRNA from 1 species